GACGAACGCUGGCGGCGUGCUUAACACAUGCAAGUCGAACGGAAAGGCCCUGCUUUUGUGGGGUGCUCGAGUGGCGAACGGGUGAGUAACACGUGAGUAACCUGCCCUUGACUUUGGGAUAACUUCAGGAAACUGGGGCUAAUACCGGAUAGGAGCUACUGCUGCAUGGUGGGGGUUGGAAAGUUUCGGCGGUUGGGGAUGGACUCGCGGCUUAUCAGCUUGUUGGUGGGGUAGUGGCUUACCAAGGCUUUGACGGGUAGCCGGCCUGAGAGGGUGACCGGCCACAUUGGGACUGAGAUACGGCCCAGACUCCUACGGGAGGCAGCAGUGGGGAAUAUUGCACAAUGGGCGGAAGCCUGAUGCAGCAACGCCGCGUGCGGGAUGACGGCCUUCGUGGUGUAAACCGCUUUCGCCUGUGACGAAGCGUGAGUGACGGUAAUGGGUAAAGAAGCACCGGCUAACUACGUG
rnacentral:rRNA from 1 species